AUUGAACGCUGGCGGCAUGCCUUACACAUGCAAGUCGAACGGCAGCACGGGAGCAAUCCUGGUGGCGAGUGGCGAACGGGUGAGUAAUAUAUCGGAACGUGCCCGGUCGUGGGGAUAACGUAGCGAAAGCUACGCUAAUACCGCAUACGAUCUACGGAUGAAAGCGGGGGAUCGCAAGACCUCGCGCGAUUGGAGCGGCCGAUAUCAGAUUAGGUAGUUGGUGAGGUAAAGGCUCACCAAGCCGACGAUCUGUAGCUGGUCUGAGAGGACGACCAGCCACACUGGGACUGAGACACGGCCCAGACUCCUACGGGAGGCAGCAGUGGGGAAUAUUGGACAAUGGGCGCAAGCCUGAUCCAGCAAUGCCGCGUGCAGGAUGAAGGCCUUC
rnacentral:rRNA from 1 species